rnacentral:lncRNA from 1 species
UUCCUCCCCUACUGAUGCUGCUGAUGCUUUAACCCAGUGGCAUGCCAGUCCCCACGUUCUGCCCUCUCAUAGCGCUGUUCCUCUCUCACCCGUGCUUAUAACUAGCAUCCUCCAUUCAACAACUCCAUGAGUGUAGGGGCCCUGCAAAGUUUUUUUCACUUCUUAAUCCCUGGUGCCUUGAAUGCUGCUGGCACACGUAGGUGUGAAGACACAGUUGUUGAAUGAAACAAAUAAAUGCACUGCUAAGCACAUGAGCGGUGGGUGCUCAGUAGUCGCUGGCUGACCUGUGGCAUCGGGCAGAAGACUGCUGGUGUUUUCCCCCCAUGCAGCUGCCACUGUGGUGCACACGUGACGCUGAGACGGCUGCGCGUGUCAGGGGCUUGGAGAGAGGUCCUGAGUGGGGUAGCGCUGGAGUGGCCGCGUGCGGUCACCCUCCUCGCAGAUGCGGGGUGAGAAUCCCAGUGAUAUAAUCAUAGCUUGUGUUUGCUUGGCCCUGACCUCCCCUGAGAACUGUAUUUGUGUCAUCACCCCGACGGAGCGCACACUGCCAUCUGAGUUUCCACAUGAAGCCCGGGAAGGCGGAGGAGUCUCUGAUCCGAGGUCCCCACGUGAGGCAGAGUGUGAGCCCAGGGAGCCUGACACAGAGUCUGAUCCACACAGAGGCCUCAGUGGUUCUCACUGAAGUUCCCAGCUGGCCUUGAACUUGUCCUCCUGCCUCAGCCUCCCGAGUACCCGAGAUUACAGGUGUGCACCACCACAAGUGGCCAGAGUUCAAGCUUUCAACCAACCACUCCUUUUCACUGCUUUGCUCAAUGGAUGAGAAAUGUAUUUUUUACUGGGACUUUGUAAGGUGGAGAAAGGAAGAGGUACAUUCUAGCUGUGAAGAACUACAGGGGUGAGUCUGAGGUGAGGGCAUGGAAAUGCCAGGUAGAGAAGUGUGGGAUCUGGUGAGAGGACGGGGUCGUGAGGCACCCAGCACAGCCAGCCAGAACCCCGGAAAGGCCAGAGUGAAGAGGAGACGGACCGGAAGCACCAAGCCUCCACAGGGAGAAGCUAAAAUGCUCUGUUCUCUCGAGAAUCCCUGAGCUACGGAUUCAAAGUGACAUGUCUGAAAACUAAGAGUGUUGGGGCCAGAAUGUCCUGGCUCUGCUAGGUGGCCUUUGGAAAGUCACUUAACCUCUCUGUGCUUCCAUUCUUUUUCUGUGAAGUGGAGGUAAUAACUCCUUUGUGUGAUUAUAGUUGAAAGAAAUGAGAUAAUAAAUACAAAGGCCCUGGUGGUGUUGGGCACACAGCACCUUUUAGCAUAUUUCAUUUCCCUCCCCUCCUUAUCUCUAGAAAGAUCUCCCCAAACUCAAGACUAAAGUCAGUGAUGGUGCUGAGGUGAGCGAGAAGAAGAGAGGGAAAUGUCAAGCCAUCCAGUUUUGAAAUAUGUCUAAGACGAAAGUAUUGUUUUCCUUCUCCUUCCUGCUGUGCGGAUGCAGGGUUAUGUAAGUGAACUUCUCAGCGUGGUCCCCUCAGGGGCCUCCAGGAGGCAGGCUGGCAGUGACAUAAACAAAUACUUCUGUGCUGUCUUCUCUGGGGGCUCUGGUACUGAGCAAACACAGGGUCUGACAGGGAGGCCAAAUUUGGAGUGAGCUCCAGACCCAGCCUUGCCUCGAGGGGAGGGGCCAGGAGAGCCAGCACACGGUUAGUGGGGAGUUUUCAGGUGGCAUGACCUGGGGAAAGGGAUCCAGUCCAGCUAGGAAGUGUGGGGGCCUCAGGCUGUGUC